AACAACUCCAAAAGGAAGUGGAAGCCAUGAGACUUGUCCAAGAAUUGAUCUUUGGAUUAUUUGGAGGUUGUUAUGGCUGUACCCAAGGACAAACUGACCCUUCAGACAAUGUACCUGAUCCCUCAGUUGCUGCCUGGAAGGUUUAGGCAUGCCAGCUCAAGCGCAGGAGGUGUCUUGCAUCCCAUGAGGUGCCCAGGAACUGAUAUCUCCAGAGCUGCAGUGAAGCUCUGUGAUAUGUGUGCAUGCUGCCUGGUGCAUAGGUGGCUCAUGGAAACCCACAGCUGCUCCUUCACUAGAGACCAUGAAACCACAGUUGCAGUCGGGAGGAAUGAUGGCCACUUCAGCAGUACCUCAAGAUGUCACUGCACGAGAGGAGUCUCCCCAACCUCAGGAGUAAGACAUGGCUGCCCAAUUGGAACAUCAGUAGAGAGCCACUGAAAGGGGGAUUGCUGUGCAGACAGAAGAUUAACACAGACUGAUGACAAGCACUGAUUGUCUUCUUUUCAAUGAAUAAACUUGAGAUCUUCAGCCUUUAAGAUAUAUUU
rnacentral:lncRNA from 14 species